CCUACGGGGGGCUGCAGUGGGGAAUAUUGCGCAAUGGGCGCAAGCCUGAUGCAGCCAUGCCGCGUGUGUGAAGAAGGCCUUCGGGUUGUAAAGCACUUUCAGCGGGGAGGAGGGCGUUAAGGUUAAUAACCUUGGCGAUUGACGUUACCCGCAGAAGAAGCACCGGCUAACUCCGUGCCAGCAGCCGCGGUAAUACGGAGGGUGCAAGCGUUAAUCGGAAUUACUGGGCGUAAAGCGCACGCAGGCGGUCUGUCAAGUCGGAUGUGAAAUCCCCGGGCUCAACCGGGGAACUGCAUUCGAAACGGGCAGGCUAGAGUCGUGUAGAGGGGGGUAGAAUUCCAGGUGUAGCGGUGAAAUGCGUAGAGAUCUGGGGGAAUACCGGUGGCGAAGGCGGCCCCCUGGACAAAGACUGACGCUCAGGUGCGAAAGCGUGGGGAGCAAACAGGAUUAGAUACCCGAGUAGUC
rnacentral:rRNA from 1 species